UACGCAGACGGUUUGGUAGGUCGGGCGUGAAAGCCCUGGGCUCAACCCAGGAAAUGCGCUCGAAACCGCCUCACUCGAGUAUAGGAGAGGAAAGCGGAAUUCCCGGUGUAGAGGUGAAAUUCGUAGAUAUCGGGAGGAACACCAGCGGCGAAGGCGGCUUUCUGGCCUAUUACUGACGUUCAGGUACGAAAGCGUGGGUAGCAAACA
rnacentral:rRNA from 1 species